CGGCGGACGGGUGAGUAACGCGUGGGUAACCUGCCUCAUACAGGGGAGUAACAGUUGGAAACGGACUGCUAAUACCGCAUAAGCGCACAGUACCGCAUGGUACGGUGUGAAAAACUACCGGUGGUAUGAGAUGGACCCGCGUCUGAUUAGGUAGUUGGUGGGGUAACGGCCUACCAAGCCGACGAUCAGUAGCCGACCUGAGAGGGUGACCGGCCACAUUGGGACUGAGACACGGCCCAA
rnacentral:rRNA from 1 species